AUACGUAGGGGGCGAGCGUUGUCCGGAAUUACUGGGCGUAAAGGGCGUCUAGGUGGCCUCUUGCGUGUAAGGUUAAAGGCGUCGGCUCAACCGACGACGUGCCUUGCAAACGGGGAGGCUUGAGAACAGGAGAGGGAUGCGGAAUUCCCGGUGGAGCGGUGAAAUGCGUAGAGAUCGGGAAGAACACCAGUGGCGAAGGCGGCAUCCUGGCCUGGAUCUGACACUGAAGCGCGAAAGCGUGGGGAGCGAACGGGAUUAGAUACCCCGGUAGUCCACGCCGUAAACGAUGGGUACUAGGUGUGGGAGGUAUCGACCCCUUCCGUGCCGGAGCUAACGCACUAAGUACCCCGCCUGGGGAGUACGGCCGCAAGGCUGAA
rnacentral:rRNA from 1 species